rnacentral:rRNA from 1 species
UACGGAGGAUCCAAGCGUUAUCCGGAUUUAUUGAGUUUAAAGGGUGCGUAGGUGGCUUAUUAAGUCAGGGGUGAAAGACGGUAGCUUAACUAUCGCAGUGCCUUUGAUACUGAUGAGCUUGAAUGAACUAGAGGUAGGCGGAAUGUGACAAGUAGCAGUGAAAUGCAUAGAUAUGUCACAGAACACCAAUUGCGAAGGCAGCUUACUAUGGUUAGAUUGACACUGAGGCACGAAAGCGUGGGGAUCAAACAGG